CAGCUGACGAAUAGUUUUUAGAACAUUCAUUACAUUCGACAUUUUCUUCACAAUUGUUUCAUUAACUGACGCCAAAAAUCCAAAGAAUUUUUUAAAAUGAGAGUAAAACAAAGAAAUUCUUCUGAUAUCUCCUCCGAGGAUUCAUCAAAAAUACUAGUAAAUGCUCAAAACAAAAUAGCCGAAGAAAUGGCCGAUUUGGACAGACGAAUCAAGAACCUCAGAAAUAAAAUCAACAGAUUGAAAAAACAAAUGACAAAGUGGGAAAUGGCGACAACUCCAGCCAUUCGAAAAGUUAAAAAAAAACAUCAGAAAAAAAUGGUCAAUUAGUACAAUGAAUCUAAAAUCAGUAUGGACGAAGGCAACACAAUAGAUUGAACAAAUACAAGGAAUAAAAAUGUAUACCAAUUGUUGGAGAAGAGAAUGUAAAAUGGAGGAACACUAUGAUAUGUUAAUGAAAAAUAAAUUGAUGUUUAAUAUGUA